AGUGAACGCUGGCGGUAGGCCUAACACAUGCAAGUCGAACGGCAGCACAGUAAGAGCUUGCUCUUACGGGUGGCGAGUGGCGGACGGGUGAGGAAUACAUCGGAAUCUACUUUUUCGUGGGGGAUAACGUAGGGAAACUUACGCUAAUACCGCAUACGACCUACGGGUGAAAGCAGGGGAUCUUCGGACCUUGCGCGAUUGAAUGAGCCGAUGUCGGAUUAGCUAGUUGGCGGGGUAAAGGCCCACCAAGGCGACGAUCCGUAGCUGGUCUGAGAGGAUGAUCGGCCACACUGGAACUGAGACACGGUCCAGACUCCUACGGGAGGCAGCGGGGGGAAUAUUGGACAAUGGGCGCAAGCCUGAUCCGGCCAUACCGCGUGGGUGAAGAAGGCCUUCGGGUUGUAAAGCCCUUUUGUUGGGAAAGAAAAGCAGCAGGUUAAUACCCCGCUGUUCUGACGGUACCCAAAGAAUAAGCACCGGCUAACUUCGUG
rnacentral:rRNA from 1 species